UGCUUAAUUGCGUUUCAAAAUUUAAACCUGAGCGACAAGGUGCUGCUAUCGAAACUGUCUUUGAGUGUGAACUAUAAGUCUUUUGACUUAUGACCAUCACUCUAGACGUUUAUGUUUUGGUGUUGGCCCUUGAUGCUCAUUUGAACGCAACGGACGUGAUUGCAACCCCUUGUUGAGAUUUAUCCGAUCUCUACGUUCACUGAACCACACUCUUUAGCGAGAGCAGUGGGGAUGUGGAUAAACUCGGGGGACUGCUGACUAUAAACUUUUCUCAAACCAGAGGAAGGUUGCGGCAAUAACAGGUCUGUGAUGCCCUCAGAUGUUCCGGGCUGCACACGUGCUACAUUUAGUAGCGCAGUGUGCACAUUAAUAGAGUGAUAGGUUCCGUGGUUUGUACAUUUUAAGGGCUCGUCCUAGUAACCAAAGCUCCACGGGACAUAUCAACCUUCCCCUUACAGGGCGGGUAACCUCUUCGAAGUGCUGGCAUGAUUUCCCUAGUUUUGGCAUUUGAAUCCUUGUCGCAGCAGCCCUGAGACGUAGUGAACGCUGCAAAGUGAUUCCAGUCUUAGGUUUGCGACACAUGCAAUUCCUGGUUGACUCAUCGUGGGGACUGAUUCUUGUAAUUAUUUUUCACGGUUCAACCAGGAAUGCCUUGUACCGGCGGCUCAUUAAACCGCUGGGAAUACGUCCCUGCCCUUUGUACACACC
rnacentral:rRNA from 1 species